CAGGACUAAACCAGUACUAAACCAGGACUAAACCAGGUCUAAACCAGGACUAAACCAGGACUAAACCAGGACUAAACCAGGACUAAACCAGGACUAAAUCAGGACUAAAUCAGGACUAAACCAGGACUAAAUCAGGACUAAAUCAGGACUAAACCAGUACUAAACCAGGACUAAACCAGGUCUAAACCAGGACUAAACCAGGACUAAACCAGGACUAAACCAGGUCUAAACCAGGACUAAACCAGGACUAAACCAGGACUAAACCAGGACUAAACCAGGUCUAAACCAGGACUAAACCAGGACUAAACCAGGACUAAACCAGGACUAAAUCAGGACUAAAUCAGGUCUAAACCAGGACUAAACCAGGACUAAAUCAGGACUAAAUCAGGACUAAACCAG
ensembl:lncRNA